AAAGGAUCCAGCAGAAGCAACAAUGAGAGGAAACACAUUUGCCAUGUCUUGCUCACUACAUCCUCCCGUGUGUCCUCUCCUUUGCGACCGCUGUUCUCUCCGUCCUUCGCAGCGCCCAUCUCCAGGGGCCUGCUCUCCCUCGGAGCCAUGGAUGCUGAGCUGCACGGGCCCUGGCUCGUCUAACUGAAAGCCAAAACAGGCAAAACACUGGUCAGAAGCACAGCUGGGGACAAUCCUACGCUGUCACUCCUGAACAGACCGUCCUGGGCAGACAGACCUAAAAGCCCUGGCUGACCCUCCUUCCAAAGGUGAAUGUGAAAAACAAUAGCAGGGGUGCGAAUGCUGAGCGUAUUUAAAGCACAAUCAUGGGAAAUGCUGGUGACCUCCCAUUGCCACCGAGGCCUUUUCCUUCCUCUGGCAAAACCUAUGGCUUGUCUCCACCACCACACCACUGGCCUCUGGUUCCGUGAGCCUCUUCGAUAAGUGAUGUGAACACUCCCAUGCAGCACAGAAAAGCCAUCCAAAAUAACACAGUCAUUACCAGUGCUCGGAAAGACUCCGAGGGACGCAUUCCCCAAAGAAAUCAAGUCAGUUGUUGUUCGUCAGCAGGUCUUAUGUAAAUUGGGUAGCAGGGCAUUUAGUUGGAGAUCUCGGAGCCUAAGCCUGCCCCAAAGCACUUAUUGUUUAGAGCGUAACUAUAAGCUGGGAGAAGUGUGAUUUUAUACAGUUUGCCAAGGGAAGCGAACACUCCAGAUCUUGUGUGGUGGCCAGGAUGGGAUGUUUUUACUUGGUGUCAUUCUCAAAAGCAGGAUUUUUAUCUGUUCCCUUUCCUGAGUUCGGUUUUCUCUUUCCAUUUUACUUUCCCUAUAAUCUUACAAAGCAGUAUGCUUGGCAUUUGGUGUUAGAUGUUAGAUAUCUGAAACAGAAGCGUCACAGCUGUUCACUGCCUUGUAUUUUAU